rfam:Capsaspora owczarzaki ATCC 30864 unplaced genomic scaffold supercont2.6, whole genome shotgun sequence.
GGGCGUCUAGCUCAUUUGGUAGAGCAUGUCGUUAACACCGACAAGGUACGGAGAUCGAAACUCUGGAUGCUCA